UGAAUAAGAAAUAAUAUAUAUAGU
rnacentral:sRNA from 1 species